GAAGCACUGAGGGGAGCCGAAGCUCCCCUCAAAGCGUUGUUGCCUGCUCUUUUCUUAUUAUUGAGGCCGGCCUUUUGUUGUUUUUGUAGGCCUGCCUUGGUGUUGCGGGUGACCCCCAACCGGGGUCAAGAGCAAACGUAUUUUUUUGAGCGCUGACCUGCUUUCAUCCUGGGGAUCCGAUGCUGACUGCCGCUACCUUGAGGUAGUU
rnacentral:sRNA from 1 species